GGGUUGUGAGGUUAAGCGACUAAGCGUACACGGUGGAUGCCCUGGCAGUCAGAGGCGAUGAAGGACGUGCUAAUCUGCGAUAAGCGUCGGUAAGGUGAUAUGAACCGUUAUAACCGGCGAUUUCCGAAUGGGGAAACCCAGUGUGUUUCGACACACUAUCAUUAACUGAAUCCAUAGGUUAAUGAGGCGAACCGGGGGAACUGAAACAUCUAAGUACCCCGAGGAAAAGAAAUCAACCGAGAUUCCCCCAGUAGCGGCGAGCGAACGGGGAGCAGCCCAGAGCCUGAAUCAGUGUGUGUGUUAGUGGAAGCGUCUGGAAAGGCGCGCGAUACAGGGUGACAGCCCCGUACACAAAAAUGCACAUAUUGUGAGCUCGAUGAGUAGGGCGGGACACGUGGUAUCCUGUCUGAAUAUGGGGGGACCAUCCUCCAAGGCUAAAUACUCCUGACUGACCGAUAGUGAACCAGUACCGUGAGGGAAAGGCGAAAAGAACCCCGGCGAGGGGAGUGAAAAAGAACCUGAAACCGUGUACGUACAAGCAGUGGGAGCCUCUUUUAUGGGGUGACUGCGUACCUUUUGUAUAAUGGGUCAGCGACUUAUAUUCUGUAGCAAGGUUAACCGAAUAGGGGAGCCGAAGGGAAACCGAGUCUUAACUGGGCGUUAAGUUGCAGGGUAUAGACCCGAAACCCGGUGAUCUAGCCAUGGGCAGGUUGAAGGUUGGGUAACACUAACUGGAGGACCGAACCGACUAAUGUUGAAAAAUUAGCGGAUGACUUGUGGCUGGGGGUGAAAGGCCAAUCAAACCGGGAGAUAGCUGGUUCUCCCCGAAAGCUAUUUAGGUAGCGCCUCGUGAAUUCAUCUCCGGGGGUAGAGCACUGUUUCGGCAAGGGGGUCAUCCCGACUUACCAACCCGAUGCAAACUGCGAAUACCGGAGAAUGUUAUCACGGGAGACACACGGCGGGUGCUAACGUCCGUCGUGAAGAGGGAAACAACCCAGACCGCCAGCUAAGGUCCCAAAGUCAUGGUUAAGUGGGAAACGAUGUGGGAAGGCCCAGACAGCCAGGAUGUUGGCUUAGAAGCAGCCAUCAUUUAAAGAAAGCGUAAUAGCUCACUGGUCGAGUCGGCCUGCGCGGAAGAUGUAACGGGGCUAAACCAUGCACCGAAGCUGCGGCAGCGACGCUUAUGCGUUGUUGGGUAGGGGAGCGUUCUGUAAGCCUGUGAAGGUGUGCUGUGAGGCAUGCUGGAGGUAUCAGAAGUGCGAAUGCUGACAUAAGUAACGAUAAAGCGGGUGAAAAGCCCGCUCGCCGGAAGACCAAGGGUUCCUGUCCAACGUUAAUCGGGGCAGGGUGAGUCGACCCCUAAGGCGAGGCCGAAAGGCGUAGUCGAUGGGAAACAGGUUAAUAUUCCUGUACUUGGUGUUACUGCGAAGGGGGGACGGAGAAGGCUAUGUUGGCCGGGCGACGGUUGUCCCGGUUUAAGCGUGUAGGCUGGUUUUCCAGGCAAAUCCGGAAAAUCAAGGCUGAGGCGUGAUGACGAGGCACUACGGUGCUGAAGCAACAAAUGCCCUGCUUCCAGGAAAAGCCUCUAAGCAUCAGGUAACAUCAAAUCGUACCCCAAACCGACACAGGUGGUCAGGUAGAGAAUACCAAGGCGCUUGAGAGAACUCGGGUGAAGGAACUAGGCAAAAUGGUGCCGUAACUUCGGGAGAAGGCACGCUGAUAUGUAGGUGAAGUCCCUCGCGGAUGGAGCUGAAAUCAGUCGAAGAUACCAGCUGGCUGCAACUGUUUAUUAAAAACACAGCACUGUGCAAACACGAAAGUGGACGUAUACGGUGUGACGCCUGCCCGGUGCCGGAAGGUUAAUUGAUGGGGUUAGCGCAAGCGAAGCUCUUGAUCGAAGCCCCGGUAAACGGCGGCCGUAACUAUAACGGUCCUAAGGUAGCGAAAUUCCUUGUCGGGUAAGUUCCGACCUGCACGAAUGGCGUAAUGAUGGCCAGGCUGUCUCCACCCGAGACUCAGUGAAAUUGAACUCGCUGUGAAGAUGCAGUGUACCCGCGGCAAGACGGAAAGACCCCGUGAACCUUUACUAUAGCUUGACACUGAACAUUGAGCCUUGAUGUGUAGGAUAGGUGGGAGGCUUAGAAGUGUGGACGCCAGUCUGCAUGGAGCCGACCUUGAAAUACCACCCUUUAAUGUUUGAUGUUCUAACGUGGACCCGUAAUCCGGGUUGCGGACAGUGUCUGGUGGGUAGUUUGACUGGGGCGGUCUCCUCCUAAAGAGUAACGGAGGAGCACGAAGGUUGGCUAAUCCUGGUCGGACAUCAGGAGGUUAGUGCAAUGGCAUAAGCCAGCUUGACUGCGAGCGUGACGGCGCGAGCAGGUGCGAAAGCAGGUCAUAGUGAUCCGGUGGUUCUGAAUGGAAGGGCCAUCGCUCAACGGAUAAAAGGUACUCCGGGGAUAACAGGCUGAUACCGCCCAAGAGUUCAUAUCGACGGCGGUGUUUGGCACCUCGAUGUCGGCUCAUCACAUCCUGGGGCUGAAGUAGGUCCCAAGGGUAUGGCUGUUCGCCAUUUAAAGUGGUACGCGAGCUGGGUUUAGAACGUCGUGAGACAGUUCGGUCCCUAUCUGCCGUGGGCGCUGGAGAACUGAGGGGGGCUGCUCCUAGUACGAGAGGACCGGAGUGGACGCAUCACUGGUGUUCGGGUUGUCAUGCCAAUGGCACUGCCCGGUAGCUAAAUGCGGAAGAGAUAAGUGCUGAAAGCAUCUAAGCACGAAACUUGCCCCGAGAUGAGUUCUCCCUGACCCUUUAAGGGUCCUGAAGGAACGUUGAAGACGACGACGUUGAUAGGCCGGGUGUGUAAGCGCAGCGAUGCGUUGAGCUAACCGGUACUAAUGAACCGUGAGGCUUAACCUUACAACGCCGAAG
rnacentral:rRNA from 1 species